UACCAGCACCCCGAGUGGUCGGGACGUUAUUGGGCCUAAAGCAUCCGUAGCCGGUUCUACAAGUCUUCCGUUAAAUCCAGCUGCUUAACAGAUGGGCUGCGGAAGAUACUAUGGAGCUAGGAGGCGGGAGAGGCAAGCGGUACUCGAUGGGUAGGGGUAAAAUCCGUUGAUCCAUUGAGGACCACCAGUGGCGAAGGCGGCUUGCCAGAACGCGCUCGACGGUGAGGGAUGAAAGCUGGGGGGAGCAAACAG
rnacentral:rRNA from 1 species